rnacentral:rRNA from 1 species
ACUCUUACGGGAGGCAGCAGUGGAGAAUAUUGGACAAUGGGCGCAAGCCUGAUCCAGCCAUGCCGCGUGGGUGAUGAAGGCCCUAGGGUUGUAAAGCCCUUUCGGCGGGGAAGAUAAUGACGGUACCCGCAGAAGAAGCCCCGGCUAACUUCGUGCCAGCAGCCGCGGUAAUACGAAGGGGGCUAGCGUUGCUCGGAAUCACUGGGCGUAAAGCGCACGUAGGCGGAUUGUUAAGUCAGGGGUGAAAUCCUGGAGCUCAACUCCAGAACUGCCUUUGAUACUGACGGUCUUGAGUCCGGGAGAGGUGAGUGGAACUGCGAGUGUAGAGGUGAAAUUCGUAGAUAUUCGCAAGAACACCAGUGGCGAAGGCGGCUCACUGGCCCGGUACUGACGCUGAGGUGCGAAAGCGUGGGGAGCAAACAGGAUUAGAUACCCUGGUAGUCCACGCCGUAAACGAUGGAUGCUAGCCGUUGGCGGGUUUACCCGUCAGUGGCGCAGCUAACGCAUUAAGCAUCCCGCCUGGGGAGUACGGUCGCAAGAUUAAAACUCCAAGGAAUUGACG